GCCUGUUUUACUGCUUGCGAUAAAGUACGAGAUACACCAAAUUUAACAAAUCAAAUAGAUAGCUUUAAAAUUUGUUUUUCACAAGUGUUAUUAACUGGGCAAUCACUUUUGGCAGAUUUAUCAAGCAUCUAGAGUAUCUGUGAGAUUACAAUAUUAUAUUUUUUCAGAAAGUGGUGAAACAAGUCUUAAUAAUAUUUAGUUCUAUUGAAAUCGGUUCUGCAAUCAUCAAGACAUGUUGCGUCUCCUUCUUUCUUAUAAAUGAAAACAAUGGCAGAGUUAUUCCAUAAACACGUGGGAAGAAGAUGAAAUUAGACUAAACGCAAAACCAUUAUGUAUUGAUGUCAAGACUGAAUACAGUCACGAUCCCACAAAUAGCGUGUCAUCGAAUGUGUCCCAAUGAUUGACCAACGGACCUGCGGCAAAUUAUGCUGCAUCAUCGAAAUGUAUGCGAUUGCUGGACAUGUGUGGUCAUCAUACAUAACAGCACGGAGUAGCGGCUUGUGGUUCGGAGACGUGUUUUUGUGAUGAUCAAUCUAUUUAAAUAGCCAGUCUGUUUAACUUCAUAAGCGAAAACGUAAUUGUUGCAUUAAACGCAAGACAAAUAAAGCGCUUUGAACACAUAACUAACAUUAAUGGGACUUAGUUAAUAUAAUUUAUAUAAUUUAUGUACUUAGGGUUGAUGUCAGGCUAAAAUUGUAAGAUUUAUGUCUUACGGUAACCCGGACUUGCAGCUAAAAAGACUCGCGAGGAUGGUGAUUUUUCUGUUGACCAUACGGUAAAAUCUGACAGGUACCUAUCUAUUACUAAUGACAAAUAUGUCAUUAAGAAAGUGCGUGCGAACUCGAAAUGGUAUCGUCUCGGCCAUCGGCGAAGAUCGGCAUUUAUCGGCAAUUAUCUGCUGAGAAAGUGCCAUUAUGUCGUUGAAGCUGUAAUUGACGGCUAUCGGCACUGUGAUGUGUUGAUUGCGACCUUUUGUCGCUUGAACAGGUGCGAUUUGAGAACUGAGCGAAAUAUUACAGUAACCUACUUAUACCGAUUGCCACUCAGUCAAUUUCUGUUUAAGUUUUAUGCCCAUCGCCAGUAAUGAACUGUUUGUCUAUAGACGUGCAUGCUUACAACAUUUCUGUUCAAUCGGUUAAAGAUGUCUGCUUCAAAAGUUGAUUGCGAUAUUGCACCCGAAAAUAGCUGUUUUUCAAACAUACAUUAACAUAUAUUGCAAGUGAAAUAAAAGGUUGUAAUAUUUAUAAACCACGAGAUCCUGUUGUGGGAAAUUACGUAUAUAUAAAAAUAUAUGCCUAAUUUCCCAGCAAGAGUGGAUCUCGGGACUGAACUCUUCAUGGUUAUUACCUCAUACAUGAAUUCUCUCACUAACUUAAGUGUCUGAGCCAAGAGACCCCUUUCAUUAUUUUUCUUCUCCACUUCUUAAUUGUAAACUUCUCUUCUUCAAAGUCGUAUUCCUCAUAGGGUCGUGGUCAUUACAUGGAAUGAAACAUACGUAACAAAUUUCUUGGCAUUAUUAAUGGAGUGGUUUGCCAUUGCCAUUUCACACACAAGUUUAUAAUCAAAAAGUGUGCAGGUUUCCUCACGAUGUUUUUCCUUCACCGGAAGCAAGUGGUUGUCGAUAAAAACUACUAUACAUGAGUCAGAUUGGUAUACAAACUGAUGUGGCACGAGUAGGAUUCGAAUCUGGGACCUUUCGAUCCACAGGCGGGGGUCUUAACCAUUACACCACCACCGCUUCAUUGUAAACUUAUGCGACCUUUAAUCCAUUUUAACAUGGGCACCGACCCAGUCAUUACUCAACAUACGUCACAAUAUACAUACACAUCAUCGACGUAACAAUGAGAAAGCGACACUCAUUAGAAUAUGGUGAAAGCCUGAUUGAUUCGUGAUGAUAACUUGAGGCGGACAGGUCAAGCGCCUUGACUUGAAGCUUAUGUCAGUUACCAUAAUAAUAAUUAGAAGGAAUUAACAAGUGACUGAAGUAACUAGCUGAUAGGCAAUAACCACAGACUUAUAUAUUGAGACUAUGGCAAUAACUAUAACCCCAAAGAGUGAUGACGUCAGACAUGCGGCCAGUAAUUAAAUCACAGUCGCAUGUUCCAAAUUUAAACGCCGACUCGGGGUUUCGAAGCCUUUCAGAUCGCGCAUGAAAGCCAGAACAUGUGAGAAUGAGAGAGGGAUAUGUGUAAAACGAACGAUAGUUUUAGGAUAUCAUGAACUUGGUCGAGAAAGCCGACACAGGCCAAUUCGUGCUUCACUGGCAUUCCGGAGAUAAUGCGCGCAAGAUGAUCACACAGACAGACAAUCAGACAGACGCUAAUGUGUUUGGAAAUAGAUUAUAUUUGUAAGUGGAUCUGACAGUGAUGACAAAAAUAAUUACUUUGGUCAGAUAAGUGGUUAGUUUAGUGGUAAGCGAUGGAUGGGACUUUCUUCUUCUUAUCGAAAGUGUUGUUAGUAACUUUAUAUGGUAAGAUUUUAAUAUAGGAAUUUUGGAAUAAAAGUGUUAUAACAAAACUGAUAGAUUGAUUGAUAAACAGUCAAUCAGUGUGAAUUAAAACUUUGUGAUGCAUCGUGACAGGAAGAAAGCAAUGAAAAUAUAUCUUUACGUAUCAAAAAUAACCACAGCAGAAAAAUCUACACAAAUGGUUCCCAGGUGUAAAAACAUUACCGGGCUCUUAAAACAUUACCAAAGGUUACAACUUGCGAACGUUCGACAAUUUGUGGGACGGGCGACCUUUGAAUUUUACAAAAUAUAAUUAUUCUGCAGGUGAGAUCUUUAGAAGGCGAUAGGAAGGUCUAUGCUACUGUGGCAAUAACGUAAGAAAUAAAUGAUAUAAUUAAUAAGAAAAAGAAUGUAAGAAAGUUCGUUGCCCGAUCAGUAACACUGAGGUGACAGCUUCCUGUUCACGAGUAACGUGACACCAGACACACAGACACCACGAUUAGAAACUAGUGCAGCCUAGCCAUCAGCUGCGAUAGUUAUACUAUAACGAAAAAAUAUUUCAAGUUUUGAUAAUUCUUUUCCUUUUUUGAAUAGUUUGUUAUUUUGAUCGA